rnacentral:rRNA from 1 species
UGAGGAAUAUUGCACAAUGGGCGCAAGCCUGAUGCAGCAACGCCGCGUGCGGGACGAAGGCCUUCGGGUCGUAAACCGCUUUUCUGGGGAAAGAGCAAGGACGGUACCUCAGGAUAAGUCUCGGCUAACUACGUGCCAGCAGCCGCGGUAAAACGUAGGAGGCGAGCGUUAUCCGGAUUUACUGGGCGUAAAGCGCACGCAGGCGGCUCUGUGAGUCGGACGUGAAAGCUCCCGGCUUAACCGGGAGAGGCCGUUCGAUACUGCGGGGCUUGAGUAAGGGAGAGGAAUGCGGAAUUCCCG